GGCUGGUCCGAUGGUAGUGGGUUAUCAGAACUUAUUCACAUUAGUGUCACUAAAGUUGGUAUUCAACCCCCCACUGCUAAAUUUGACUGCUUUUA
rnacentral:Y_RNA from 1 species